ACAUGGGCCUUUGCUCUCUACUUUUUCUUUCACCAUCUGUCAUCUUGGAAGAUGUCGCCAGCUCUGUCCCGGGAAAAAAAUCGACCAUGUGUGCUUCUGGAUUUCUAUGAUGCCCACGAUGUAUGGCAUUUCCUGUCUGCUAUCAGCAUGUUCUUUUCUUUCCUGAUCUUGCUGACUUUAGAUGACGACAUAACUCUACAGCCUCGAAACAAAAUCCCUGUCUUCUGAGAUUACUUGGUGCCUGGCUGGAUAAACACAUUGUACAUGUGUGUUUCGACAAGGAUAAGGAAUGUCUGAGAGUUUGUGUAUAUGUGGGUGGUGAAGAAGUGGUGUGCCAUGGACUGGUUAUGCAUAUGUUGAAAGUUGAGAUACAUACAGCUACUGUUAACUUAAGCUAUUUUUUUUAUUUGUAUUUUAUAUUUCAUUUUAAAGGAUGUAAAUUGAAUCCUUUAAAAGAGCAUGUUACUCAUACUAAGUGCAUGCAACUUUGGAAAUCUUUGAAAGAUGUAAUGUCCCCUUCUCUCUUGUUAAAGUUUGCCCCGAUAUUCAACCUUGCAUAAUCUACUCUGUGGCACUAUAUAAUCUAUAUCAGUUUAUCAGAUUGUCAUCAGUGCCACAGAGUAGAGAAUGAUAUUCUCCUCCUGAAGAAUUUCUCUUAACAUUUUUAACUUCAUUUGGUAUUUCC